rnacentral:misc_RNA from 1 species
GGAAAAUGCAAAACGAGACUCGGCCUUUCUUUCGGAGAACGUUUUGUAAAAUUUUUCCUUCAGCCACAGACCACAGCAAACGCUUUCACAGAAUCGCCUCCAUAGAUAUUUAAUUCCAUAAUCCUUGGUUAGUCAACCUCUCUCUUUCUAUCUCCAUCUCAGGGUUUCUUUUUUCAGAUUUCUUCAGGUUCCAUUUGGUCACUGACACACACUAGCAGGUGGAUGUACGCUUUAUUUUGGUUCGGUGAUUUUCAUUGCACUUUUUAUAGUGGUUACUGGUUGAUGCUUGGGCAUUAUUGAGGGAUUUGAAUAGGGAUAGAUUUUCGAAGCGGGUCUUGGUAAAAUUCUAAAUCUGAUCGACGAAAUAUUAGCUGAAGCGAAAUUUUAUUCCGUAGGAGGGAGAUGUUGAGUUUAGUGGAACAAGGGGUGUGGGUAAUCCUGGGUAUCUUAGAAAUCUGUCUUAAAAACUUUUACAAGUAUGCUUUUGGAAUUUACAGCAUUGGUCUCGUGGAUUUAGAAUGGGAAUUGAAUGCUAUCGACUGCUGGUUGACAAUUAGAAAUAUUCAAAAUUUUAGAAGUUCAAUUUAUUGAGUGAGAACAAUUCAGCUUAGACUGCCGCAAUCUCUUUAACUAGAUCAAUCCCGAAGAAGAGUAGCAGUGUUCCUCAAUUUCAAUAUUUUUUAAAUUGGAUAGCAGCAGUGGUCUUCAAUUUUUUUUUUUCCUCAGUUGGAUAAGUUCUGAACCUGUCCCUAUUUGAUGCUUUCAUUUUAUAUUGUUGUUUUUGCUUUAAUUCCAUUUCAUUUUCAAUUCCUUUAGCCUUGUGAAACAAAAUGGAUUUUAAAUCCAUGGGUUUAACAGUCUACACUGUUUGAGUUUAAUAAUUAGAAAGUAAUCCAUGGUUCUUUGUUUCUAUUAUAGAGAUGAGUUGUGGCAAUUUUGGUUCUGGUAAAUGGAGUUUGGUGUUAUGUUUGGAAAUUGAUAGUAUGCUAGCUGUUGAUGUUUUCUACCUCUGUACUUGUGGGUUCUUUGAUAGAAAUUGGGGGGAAAAUAAUUGAUUUUCUUGGAGGUUGGAUUUACUUUGCUCUGCUUCUACCCUCAAAAUUAUUGAACUGAACGGAAUUGAAUUAAUAUGUUUUGAUUCUUUAUUAAAAUCAGUUUGGUUCAGUUUAUAUUUAAAAGAUUCCAUGUUAGGUUUGGUUUUGAACCGAACUAACUGAUUUCUCGCCCCUUAAAGGGCUUGAAAAAUUAAUGGCUGGAAUUUUGUGGGUCAUUUUUUUUGUAUGAUUUGUUGUAAGGAAAUCUGUAGUGGAAGAAAUGGUUGAGAUAGGAUUUAUUUAUUUUUUUUUUGCUGUGUGAUUAGAAUUCAGAAACCCUGCAGUCUGUUGUCUAUUUGACAAAAUUAAAAUUAAAGGGCCUAAUUGACUGUUGGCCAUAAGUUUAAAGGCUAAAAUAAGCCUUUCGCCUCACAUAUGAUGUCUCUUUUUUCGUGUCUCUAGAUUACAUGAACAGGUCCUUGCAUUUAUCAAGCUUUAGUCUUUUGAUGUUAAUUUGGUAGGUGGUGGUUAAAAGAAUUAGUUCUUUUAAUUUGGAAAGUUCCCUGCUAAAUGUAAUAUAGAUGAUUACUCUCUAGCAUAUAGGGUCAAGUACCUGUCUCGUCAUUCAGGAGGUCAAUGAUCAAACUCUGGCAGCCCCCUUCCCCUUUAAUAAUUUCUAAAGCACCAAAAAAUAUGUAGGUUCUUAGGGAAAUGAGACUUUUCCAAAGAGCAAAGUGCAACCCCGCGAAAGAACACUUACACAUUUCUAAUUCCAUGUAAUUCGGAGCUUAUGUAAACUUUUAUCUUUGUACUUCAAUUAGAUAUGCUUGAUACAUAUUUAGAGCAAUAUUCUAGCUAUAAUUUCCCUAGAUAAUUAUUUCACUUUGUGGUGAUAUUUUUCCAAUAAUUAGCUGUCUUGAAGGUCAACAGUUAAAUAGUGCAUAAAGAGAAAACAACUUGUUUGCAGAAAAAUUUCCCGUUGUUAUAUUACUUAGCUUGCAACCUUGCACAAUAAUUAUAGAUAAAAUUUUAUAUCAAUGAUACUGAUGACCUCACUCCCAAUCUUUAAGGAAUUUCAUAAAUAAUAAUUUUUAGUGAUAGCUGGGGAUGCAAUGAUUCUUUGGCUGAGUGAAGAAAAGGAUCCUGCUGCUAUUAAGCCUCUUUACAGUGGUAAUGUCAUAUAACCUUUACAGAAUACAAUAGUGAACAUUCAUUCAAGUUCAUUAUUUCAAUUCCAUCCGAAAACAGAGAGUUCAUGAUGAUGUUUAUUUCUGUGAUUCAUAUUUGAUGUUUUUAGUUAGACUGUCCUCUUUUUUUUUUAUACUGAUUCUCUGAAGCUCUGUUGAGAUUUCUUAAAGAUGUUGCUAGCUUUUUGCUGAGAGCCAUAUAGAUUUUUCAUACAUUCUUAACUACAAUUAGAAUAGCAAUUGUGUAAGCUUCCUUCUGUCUGAAAAACCAUCAUGCGUUAUCCUUUCGGCUUUAUCUGACAUAAAGAAGCCAACCUAAAUAAUGUAAUUAUAGUGAAAAUUUUGUUGGUAACUGAUCAUAAUAGCAACAUCAGAUAACUAAAGAAAUGAAUAAGGUGCAGAAGCAGUGCUUGUCCAUAGAUAUUAUUUAGUUGCAUGAAAUAAAAUUCAAUUUUAUUCCUUGCUGAAUCUAGGAUAUGCAUUGAAUUCAACUAUUGUCUUCUUUGCUGGUAUGUGCUGCAUGUUUCAUUCUGUGCAUACUAUUAAAGAUGCUAAAUUCCUAAACAAAUAAUUGUUUUGUUACUAAAUAAAAUGUCAGGAGAAUCGAAGGAAUGACAGUUUUGAAAAGGUACGUGUUGAGGUUGUUUAUAUCAUUGAAGUACAUUACAGCGAAUGUUGUGGACAGAAACAAUGGGAGGAUUGUUGUAACAGCAUCGACAGUUGAACAUUCCAUCAAGAACACACUAGAGUGUGGUCGGUCCUGCAAUGCAAAAGCAGCAGCAGUUGUUGGAGAGGUUUUGGCUAUGCGUCUCAAGGUGGAGGGUCUUGAUCAAGGACACGGAAGAGGAAUUCAUGUCAAUGUAAACAAAGAGGUUGAGAAAAAAGGUUUUAAAAACCGAACCAAGAUAUGGGCUAUUGUUAAUGUCCUUAAAAAUAGUGGAGUUAAAGUUAUUUUGGACGAUGAUGAUGACAACACAUCUAGAACAAAAUUUCCAUAAACCUUUUCCCCAGUUUUUCAAUUUGUUUUUUGUAGUGGAAGAUGGCAUUAUAAUGUGUUAUGCAGGAAAGAAUGUGAGAUAGCCUGAAACACAUUUGAUUGUUAAUGUGAAUGUAUGAGAAUGGAUGCCUUUACA